UAAGGGGAGUGGAAAGAGGCCGCUCGGUCCUAAUCUACCUGUUCCGGAGGCAAGGUGUGUCAGGUUGGGAAAGCACGGCGUUUCUCCUCUUACUGUGAGCGGGCGUUUGAGGGUGGAUCCGGCAGCAGGGCCGACUUAACAGGGAAGACUGCUGGUUUCCUGGGAGAGCGAUCUAUUGGGCCCGUGUAUUUGUGCUGACCGCUGUUUGUUUUAGGCUUGUUUUGUUGCAUUUGUUUUAUUUGCGAACUGCUCAAGGGGUUUGGUGUAACUUUUCUAGCUGGCCAGCUAUGUAUGGGAAGAUAAGAGGGAUUCACGGGCUGGCUGGCUAGUUAAGAUUUUCUUCUUUUUGUAUGUUUGUUUCUUUUUGUGGUGUUGUCUAUGUCCACGUAACAGCCAGCCACUAAUCAGCCCGAGGAAAGGGGGUGUUACAAUUAAUAAGCUCUUCCUUCACUGCGUGCUGUGGGGUUUCCCGUGAUGAAUUGAAGUGUGUUGUGCGAGCGUUGUGCAAUAUCUU